UACGUAGGGGGCAAGCGUUGUCCGGAUUUACUGGGCGUAAAGAGCGUGUAGGCGGCCAAGCAGGUCCGUUGUGAAAACUGGAGGCUUAACCUCCAGACGUCGACGGAAACCGCGUGGCUAGAGUCCGGAAGAGGAGAGUGGAAUCCUGGUGUAGCGGUGAAAUGCGCGGAUAUCAGGAAGAACACCAAUGGCGAAGGCAGCUCUCUGGGACGGUACUGACGCUGAGACGCGAAAGCGUGGGGAGCGAACAGG
rnacentral:rRNA from 1 species